rnacentral:lncRNA from 1 species
UUGAUAUUGGACUUUGCUUCCAUAUAGAAUGAAUUUCUCAACAUUAACUCACUGCGGCUUUGAGUAGUUUAUAGUGAGUCAGCAAGAGUUUAAAUGGGAGAGUGUGAACCGAUGACAUGUUCCUGUUGAAAGGCAGCUCUGACACGGACCAGAUCUCUGCCUGCUUCAGCCCUGAAAUCUCUAUCUUUGCUUGUCGUGUAGCAAAGACUUUUUCUUGCCUGAAUGUUUUCCUCCCAACGGUGAAGUGAGCCUGGAGGCAUUGUCAUGCCAUCGCCUUUCGUCUACUGAAACUCACAUUUCAGGUACUUCUCCCUCUUACACAAUAAAACAGCAAAGACAUGGGGUGGCGGGGGGGGGGGAAUCAAGUUGGCCUUGCAGCCUGGAAGCCUCUGGACUAGAUUUGCCUGGGCACCUUAGGGAGUUGGUAUUGACGCGCAGACAUGGAAACACAGAGUUUUAGAUUACUGAGCGAAAGAGAAAGAGAGAGAGGGAGAGAGAGUGGUGUAUCUGUGUGGGCUUGUGUGUUCUUUUUAAAAAAAAUUAUUUAAGUAUAGUUGAUUUGCAGUGUUAAUUUAUGCUCUAUAGCAAAGUGUGUCACUUAUACAUAUAUUUUUUUUCCACUAUGGUUUUUCACUAUAUUGAAUAUAGUUCCCUGUGUAUGCAGUAGGACCUUGUUUAUCUAUCCUAUAUAUAAUAGUUGGCCUCUGCUAAUCCCGAACUAUUUGUGUGUUGUUAACCUCUACUAGAUGGUUAUGAAGCUUACUCAAGGUUGAACACUGUAGAGGUAUUUCAAGUUGCUUUAGAGAGAAAAUUACCAAAAAAACCCCACAAAAACCUUUUUUAAAAAAAUGAUUUUUGUAUUUUCCAUUAUAGUUGGUUUAGAGUUUUCUGUGGUGGCUCUACUAUACAGCCAAGUGACCCAGUCAUACAUACAUAUAUACAUUCUUUUUGUUACAUUAUCCUCUAUCAUGCUCCAUCGCAAGUG